ensembl:snoRNA Gm22187 predicted gene, 22187
CUUCCCCCAAGAGGCAUUGCAGGCUUGGCUGUGUGUUCCAUGUGUGUCAGUAGAUGACAGAGAGGAGAGGGGCUAGUUUACUUUCAGUGUUCUAACCUGUAAACAUGGGAUGAUUAGUAGCCUAACACU